rnacentral:rRNA from 1 species
UACGUAGAAGACUAGUGUUAUUCAUCUUUAAUAGGUUUAAAGGGUACCUAGACGGUAUAAUUAGUCUUAAACAGGAUACGAUUAUACUAGAGUUAUAUAUGAGGAGGUGAGUAUUUAUGCAGUAGAGUUGAAAUUCGUUGAUAGCAUAACGACUGGUAACGGCGAAAGCAACCUUUUAAUGUAAUAACUGGACGUUGAGGGACGAAGGACUCGGGUAACGAACAGG